CCGGAGGUGAGCGGGCGGGCGCGCUGCCUGCCUCCCCGGCGGGCGUUUUGGGGGUGGCCGGGGGCCGGCAGGUGCCGCGGCGGAGGCUGAGAUGACGUGGGGGUUUCCGCGCUGCUGCCCGGGGGCUGCUGGCACCAGCCCGGUUUAUUCCCUUCCCUGUCGGACGUGCUGCUGGGGGGUGAUGUGUGUCCUGGGCACUCGGAGCAUCCGCUCCGGCGUCGCGGGAGAUGGGGGCUGACCGGGGACCAUGGUCUGGCAUGGGAGCCGUCCCCUGCCCUCCCCGCAGGGCGUCCCUGUCCCGCCGUGCUGCUGGGGUCCGGCUCGCCUGGGCUGUGCUCCCAGAGCCGAAGGGGGCACAUCUGGAGCCAGGAGCUGGAGUUUGUCCCCGCAGGAGAUGUCUGGUCCAGGCAGCUCCUCCGAGCCGGUGGGGAUGCAGGUGCGGGGGCUCGGGGCUUUGGCCCAUCCUCGCUGCUGGCCGGUGCUGCCUGGAAAAAAAUCUCCACGCAGCCGGAGUUGCAGUCCCGGGGCGGGGAAGUUUGGGCGCUUCAGGCCGUGCUGGCUGUUAGUGCUGACGUUACCUGGUACCCAGCUGCGACCGAGGAUGCUCUUGUGGUCCGUGGCUGGGAGCGGCGCAGCGCCUGCUCUGGCGCAGGCGAGGCGACGGGGUUUCCCAGGAGCUCGGCUUCCCCUUCGGCAGCAAGAAAACUAUCUUGAAGCUGGGUUUCCUCCAGCAGGGAGUGCUUCCCGGAGCCCCGCGCUGUCCCGCUCCCCGGCUCGGGGGCGGUUUUCUCUCGCAUGGCCGCAGUGGGCGCAUGGAUGCGGUGGCGCGGGUGCUGAGCCCGUGGGCAGCAGCCCGUCUCUGUGCCCCCAUGCGCUGCUGGGGUGCCGGAUGCCCGGCGCUGGGGUUUGCAGGCUCUCGGGGGGCCGUGAUCAGGGAGGGGGAGUUUGGGCCUUGCAGGGCCUCUGGGAGGGGGCCACAAGCACGCAGCUUGGGGAGGCGAGCAAAGCUGCCGGCCCCUGGGCCGAAGCGCGGCUGCGGCUGCGGAGGAGGAAGCAGGCGCUGGGCUCCGGCUGCCUUAGCAUCCCUGUCUGCUGCGCCGAAACCCGGCUCUAAGCGAGCAGCGCUGGCAGUCGCUCUGCUCGCCGGCUCCCUGCCAGCGCGAGCGGUGACAGCAGCGCUGUGGGAGUGAGCACCCGCAGCG
rnacentral:lncRNA from 1 species